ACGGGAGGCAGCAGUGGGGAAUAUUGCACAAUGGGCGCAAGCCUGAUGCAGCCAUGCCGCGUGUGUGAAGAAGGCCUUCGGGUUGUAAAGCACUUUCAGUCGUGAGGAAGGUAGUGUAGUUAAUAGCUGCAUUAUUUGACGUUAGCGACAGAAGAAGCACCGGCUAACUCCGUGCCAGCAGCCGCGGUAAUACGGAGGGUGCGAGCGUUAAUCGGAAUUACUGGGCGUAAAGCGCAUGCAGGUGGUUUGUUAAGUCAGAUGUGAAAGCCCGGGGCUCAACCUCGGAAUAGCAUUUGAAACUGGCAGACUAGAGUACUGUAGAGGGGGGUAGAAUUUCAGGUGUAGCGGUGAAAUGCGUAGAGAUCUGAAGGAAUACCGGUGGCGAAGGCGGCCCCCUGGACAGAUACUGACACUCAGAUGCGAAAGCGUGGGGAGCAAACAGGAUUAGAUACCCUGGUAGUCCACGCCGUAAACGAUGUCUACUUGGAGGUUGUGGCCUUGAGCCGUGGCUUUCGGAGCUAACGCGUUAAGUAGACCGCCUGGGGAGUACGGUCGCAAGAUUAAAACUCAAAUGAAUUGACGGGGGCCCGCACAAGCGGUGGAGCAUGUGGUUUAAUUCGAUGCAACGCGAAGAACCUUACCUACUCUUGACAUCCAGAGAACUUUCCAGAGAUGGAUUGGUGCCUUCGGGAACUCUGAGACAGGUGCUGCAUGGCUGUCGUCAGCUCGUGUUGUGAAAUGUUGGGUUAAGUCCCGCAACGAGCGCAACCCUUAUCCUUGUUUGCCAGCGAGUAAUGUCGGGAACUCCAGGGAGACUGCCGGUGAUAAACCGGAGGAAGGUGGGGACGACGUCAAGUCAUCAUGGCCCUUACGAGUAGGGCUACACACGUGCUACAAUGGCGCAUACAGAGGGCGGCCAACUUGCGAGAGUGAGCGAAUCCCAAAAAGUGCGUCGUAGUCCGGAUUGGAGUCUGCAACUCGACUCCAUGAAGUCGGAAUCGCUAGUAAUCGUGGAUCAGAAUGCCACGGUGAAUACGUUCCCGGGCCUUGUACACACCGCCCGUCACACCAUGGGAGUGG
rnacentral:rRNA from 1 species